CUGAGUGAAGAAAGGCAGGGGUGGGACAGUAGUGUCACUGGCUUCCCAAUGCAUGAGAUCUUCAACUCCACACCCAGCGGAGACCCAGAGGCAGACCCAGGUGAAUCAUUCCUCCACAUGGUCCCCUAAUUUUAGCCUUGCCGACCCUCCACAUCGCCAAGUGGCUUUCUACCUGCGCUGAAAUCCGACUGAUACAGCCAAUAAGAAUUUUAAAACAGAAUCAAUCCGAAUCUCUGCUAAUAUUUGAAACGCGUCAAGAAUCUCAUUGUUCACGUCAACCCACAGUUCCAGUUUGGCUCUGAAUGCAGCCACUGUAUUUGAAGACUUGAAUACAGUCAUCGUGCUCAGUGAGCUGAUGGAUUAAGUUCGUUGUGAAGGCUGAAUACGUCACACAAUUCUGCAGCUGUGGUGAGGACCUGUCAGACUGGAAGGAAAAGAAGCAGAGAAACACGGUGACAUGGAAGUCAGAGAAACAGACUCCCAAAAUGACCGUAGGCUAGGAAGUGACAAGAGGAAUCUGAGGUGGCCUUCAACAGAGAAGAGUAAGGAAGGGGAAAAGAAGCUACAGCCUUUGGAGUAGACACAGAAAGAAUAAAUACUUUCAACGGACCAUAUUCAAAAAGCUUUGCUGUCACUGGAAGGCCCCAGAGGAGAUGACUGAGGGGGAACAAAGUCAAGCUGAAUCUCUUUAACAUAAACAGUGGAGAUGUGUAAGAUGUUGAUGAGAAAAGAGACAAGGAGAGCAAAACGUACAAACCAGGGAGGUAGGAAGUAAAGGCAGUAAGGAAAAUUCCAAGAAUUCAGAAGAAUGAACGAGUCAGCCUUUGAGCAACAGGGGGAGAUAGGCUAAGGGUAUAACCGCACCGUGGUCCCCAGCGUGAUGUGUGCUUACAUUUAACCGAGUGAUGAAGCGCUUCAGAUCCAUCUGGUUU